UACGGAGGGUCCAAGCGUUAUCCGGAAUCAUUGGGUUUAAAGGGUCCGUAGGCGGUUUUGUAAGUCAGUGGUGAAAGCCCAUCGCUCAACGGUGGAACGGCCAUUGAUACUGCAAGACUUGAAUUAUUAGGAAGUAACUAGAAUAUGUAGUGAUAGCGGUGAAAUGCUUAGAUAUUACAUGGAAUACCAAUUGCGAAGGCAGGUUACUACUAAUGGAUUGACGCUGAUGGACGAAAGCGUGGGGAGCGAACAGG
rnacentral:rRNA from 1 species